GAGUCAUUGAUGAGAACAAGUCUCUGAAGGCGGGGAUUGACUCAUACAAAUGUCAAUAAGAGGUCC